CCAGCAGCCGCGGUAAUACGGAGGAUCCAAGCGUUAUCCGGAAUCAUUGGGUUUAAAGGGUCCGUAGGCGGUUUAGUAAGUCAGUGGUGAAAGCCCAUCGCUCAACGGUGGAACGGCCAUUGAUACUGCUAGACUUGCAUUAUUAGGAAGUAACUAGAAUAUGUAGUGUAGCGGUGAAAUGCUUAGAGAUUACAUGGAAUACCAAUUGCGAAGGCAGGUUACUACUAAUGGAUUGACGCUGAUGGACGAAAGCGUGGGUAGCGAACAGGAUUAGAUACCCUGGUAGUCCACGCCGUAAACGAUGGAUACUAGCUGUUGGGAGCAAUCUCAGUGGCUAAGCGAAAGUGAUAAGUAUCCCACCUGGGGGGUACGUUCGCAAGAAUGAAACUCAAAGGAAUUGACGGGGGCCCGCACAAGCGGUGGAGCAUGUGGUUUAAUUCGAUGAUACGCGAGGAACCUUACCAAGGCUUAAAUGUAGAUUGACCGGUUUGGAAACAGACUUUUCGCAAGACAAUUUACAAGGUGCCGCAUGGUUGUCGUCAGCUCGUGCCGUGAGGUGUCAGGUUAAGUCCUAUAACGAGCGCAACCCCUGUUGUUAGUUGCCAGCGAGUCAUGUCGGGAACUCUAACAAGACUGCCAGUGCAAACUGUGAGGAAGGUGGGGAUGA
rnacentral:rRNA from 1 species